AUGAGUUUAAGUUACAUAGACUACAUGUUUUCAAAACAUGAAGCGGCUGUUAGGCCAUCUCAUG
rnacentral:tRNA from 1 species